rfam:Danio rerio chromosome 7, GRCz11 reference primary assembly.
GGUGAAUGGUGUGCGUGGUAUCCGUCUGCGUUUAGUGCCGUCUCUGGUCUGUGUCUUACAGGCUGUGGGACGGUUCUCACACCGCACUCACGGCCACAGAGCCACCGGAGAUCAUAGUACUGGCCUAGUGUUGUCUAAAUGACCAACCACCACUGACCAGCCUCCAUAGUCUCCAACAAAA